rnacentral:rRNA from 1 species
CUACGGGAGGCAGCAGUGAGGAAUAUUGGUCAAUGGGGGCAACCCUGAACCAGCCAUGCCGCGUGAAGGAUGACUGCCCUAAGGGUUGUAAACUUCUUUUGUACGGGGGUAAUUUUCGGUCUGCGGACUGAAUUGAAAGUACUGUAUGAAUAAGCGUCGGCUAACUACGUGCCAGCAGCCGCGGUAAUACGUAGGACGCAAGCGUUAUCCGGAUUUAUUGGGUUUAAAGGGUGCGUAGGCGGACCCAUAAGUCAGUGGUGAAAUACUGUCGCUCAACGAUAGCAUUGCCAUUGAUACUGUGGGUCUUGAGUACAGUUGAGGUAGGCGGAAUGUGCAGUGUAGCGGUGAAAUGCUUAGAUAUUACACAGAACACCGAUUGCGAAGGCAGCUUACUAAGCUGAAACUGACGCUGAGGCACGAAAGCGUGGGGAUCAAACAGGAUUAGAUACCCGUGUAGUCCG